UACCAGCACCCCGAGUGGUCGGGACGAUUAUUGGGCCUAAAGCAUCCGUAGCCGGUUCUACAAGUCUUCCGUUAAAUCCACCUGCUUAACAGAUGGGCUGCGGAAGAUACUAUAGAGCUAGGAGGCGGGAGAGGCAAGCGGUACUCGAUGGGUAGGGGUAAAAUCCGUUGAUCCAUUGAAGACCACCAGUGGCGAAGGCGGCUUGCCAGAACGCGCUCGACGGUGAGGGAUGAAAGCUGGGGGAGCAACCGG
rnacentral:rRNA from 1 species